rnacentral:rRNA from 1 species
UUUAAUGAGAGUUUGAUCCUGGCUCAGGACGAACGCUGGCGGCGUGCCUAAUACAUGCAAGUAGAACGCUGAAGAGAGGAGCUUGCUCUUCUUGGAUGAGUUGCGAACGGGUGAGUAACGCGUAGGUAACCUGCCUUGUAGCGGGGGAUAACUAUUGGAAACGAUAGCUAAUACCGCAUAACAAUGGAUGACACAUGUCAUUUAUUUGAAAGGGGCAAUUGCUCCACUACAAGAUGGACCUGCGUUGUAUUAGCUAGUAGGUGAGGUAACGGCUCACCUAGGCGACGAUACAUAGCCGACCUGAGAGGGUGAUCGGCCACACUGGGACUGAGACACGGCCCAGACUCCUACGGGAGGCAGCAGUAGGGAAUCUUCGGCAAUGGGGGCAACCCUGACCGAGCAACGCCGCGUGAGUGAAGAAGGUUUUCGGAUCGUAAAGCUCUGUUGUAAGUCAAGAACGAGUGUGAGAGUGGAAAGUUCACACUGUGACGGUAGCUUACCAGAAAGGGACGGCUAACUACGUGCCAGCAGCCGCGGUAAUACGUAGGUCCCGAGCGUUGUCCGGAUUUAUUGGGCGUAAAGCGAGCGCAGGCGGUUUGAUAAGUCUGAAGUUAAAGGCUGUGGCUCAACCAUAGUUCGCUUUGGAAACUGUCAAACUUGAGUGCAGAAGGGGAGAGUGGAAUUCCAUGUGUAGCGGUGAAAUGCGUAGAUAUAUGGAGGAACACCGGUGGCGAAAGCGGCUCUCUGGUCUGUAACUGACGCUGAGGCUCGAAAGCGUGGGGAGCGAACAGGAUUAGAUACCCUGGUAGUCCACGCCGUAAACGAUGAGUGCUAGGUGUUGGAUCCUUUCCGGGAUUCAGUGCCGCAGCUAACGCAUUAAGCACUCCGCCUGGGGAGUACGACCGCAAGGUUGAAACUCAAAGGAAUUGACGGGGGCCCGCACAAGCGGUGGAGCAUGUGGUUUAAUUC